AUUGAACGCUGGCGGCAUGCCUUACACAUGCAAGUCGAACGGUAACAGGUCUUCGGAUGCUGACGAGUGGCGAACGGGUGAGUAAUACAUCGGAACGUGCCUAGUAGUGGGGGAUAACUACUCGAAAGAGUGGCUAAUACCGCAUGAGAUCUACGGAUGAAAGCAGGGGAUCGCAAGACCUUGUGCUACUAGAGCGGCCGAUGGCAGAUUAGGUAGUUGGUGGGGUAAAAGCUUACCAAGCCGACGAUCUGUAGCUGGUCUGAGAGGACGAUCAGCCACACUGGGACUGGGACACGGCCCAGAAUCCUACGGGAGGCAGCAGUGGGGAAUUUUGGACAAUGGGCGCAAGCCUGAUCCAGCAAUGCCGCGUGCAGGAUGAAGGCCUUCGGGUUGUAAACUGCUUUUGUACGGAACGAAAAGCCCUGGGUUAAUACCCUGGGGUCAUGACGGUACCGUAAGAAUAAGCACCGGCUAACUACGUGCCAGCAGCCGCGGUAAAAC
rnacentral:rRNA from 1 species